CUGUGUGAGCAGAAGAAUGUUUCUGCCCAAGAAAGCUGCUGAAGAGGAACGAGGGAGACGAGUGUUGGUGAAGCCCGGCGUUUCCGUGGUCCUUUGGAGGCCAGAAUGAAGUCUCCCUGCUUGGAGACCACCGGCAAUGUCAGAAGGAGCUCUGCAGAUGGAUGGAGUGACUCUUGGAUGGUGCUUGGAUGCCUGAUGUUUCUGCAACCCUGGAUGUGAGCGCCAGGGCCUGGGAGCCCCAUCCCAUCUCCAUCGCAUGCUCCGCUGGGACGGUGA